GACGAACGCUGGCGGCGUGCUUAACACAUGCAAGUCGAACGAAGUGGCGAACGGGUGAGUAACGCGUAAUCAACCUGCCCUUCAGGGGGGGACAACAGUUGGAAACGACUGCUAAUACAUCAUACUGUAGGCAGUGGUUGCGUCGGAUUAGCUAGUUGGAGGGGUAACGGCCCACCAAGGCGAAGAUCAGUAGCCGGUCUGAGAGGAUGAACGGCCAAAUUGGGAAUGGGACACGGCCCAGAAUCCUACGGGAGGCAGCAGUGGGGGAGAUUCCGAAAUGGAGGAAAGUCUGACGGAGCAACGCCGCGUGAGUGAUGAAGGCCUUCGGGUUGUAAAGCUCUGUUAAUCGGGACGCGGUACCGGAAUAGAAAGCCACGGCUAACUACGUGCCAGCAGCCGCGGUAAUUC
rnacentral:rRNA from 1 species